GAUAAUAAUUAAAAAAAAAAAAAAAAAAAAAAAAGGUUCACGCCCGAUCUCGUUUGAUCUUGGAAGCUAAGAUAGGUUGGGCCUGGUUAGUACUUGGAUGGGAGACCACCUGGGAAUACCAAGUGCUGUAAGCU
rnacentral:rRNA from 14 species